GGAAAGGACGCUGCUGCACGCCUUGCGCACCUUUAAACGGUUAAAGGCUGUCGGGGCCUGAGUCUAUUCAGUGCCGUGUUUCUCAGUCACGCAGCGGCUUCUGGCACCUUCCAACCUCUUACUUCUAAUUGCCUUCUGUCACCCUUGAUUGGGCUGAUUGUUUUCUUUGCUCUGCUCGCUUUUGUUUUCUCUUCCUACCGUGGAGGUGAAGAAAAAAAAAAGAUCAUUUGCAUACGGUGUGUGUUUUUGUGAGUAGCACACACGUACUCAUGUCAACUUAUAAGUAUAGUUGCAUCAGCUAAUGGUUAGAAAUGUGCAACAACACGUAUACAGACACAAGCUGAUUUUUAUUGAAUAUCUUGCUGGAAAAUUCCAAAAAGGAAAUGCUGUGUAUAAUUUGCUAUUCAUAGAGAGUUCCGGAUGAAUGUGUGCUCCAACGUACCACCCUGCCUGCAAAUAAUGCAGCCCCCUGCAGAGCUGUGUGUGUGCACGCGUGUGUGUGUCUUUCAUUUGCCCUCCUUUAACCCAAAGAUAGAAAGGCUCUAUUUUUCCAAGGCAGCAUUCACAACGUUAACAUUCAACUACAACAACAGUUUCUUUCUGGGCUGAAAAAGUCGAACAUCUCGCCGCCACUGUGUUACGUUGGAAAAUUUGCAACAGAACUGCAGUAAGAAUUUUAACUUAAGAUGGGUGCAAUGCUAUAGUGGUGCUGAGCAGAGAGUCAGGGUCAGUACUUUACCAGAGAGUCUCACUAUUUAGAGAAAUGACUACAACUUUUAUUAAUAUAUUAAAUAACUCCUUUACUCUAGACUAGAGGUUCUCAACCGCUGGGUCAUAGACUGCUACCUCGCUCAGGGUGAAAGAAACGUUUCUUAUUCGUAACUUGGAAAACGUGUAUUUAGAGGAGCUCGUAUCUUGAAGCCCCACUGUAUAAGGAAAAUAAAGUGCUGCUUGUGCCUAACAGACAAAUGCACAGAACCUCAAAUGAACCUCUGAGUGUCCUUCAAUGCAUGUUCUUUUCCAAUUUUGAAGUUUUCAGAGUGAAAACUGCAGAUUAGCACAAGAACGUUAUAGAUUUGAUGUCAAACGUCAAGCCUAGGAGGUAGCAGCAGAGUGUAAAGGUCAAUCACUGUGAGUGUAUACUGUACUGUGUCGUAGGUGUGCUGUGUUGAUGCGUGGACAGGAUUCAACCGAUCAAUUAAUUACGGCGUUUGGAGACCAGAAAUCCUUUUCGCCAUCUUUGGGUUUCCUCCGUCAAGCGUUGAAAAGCAGCGAACGCCGACAGUGGCGCCUUUGUGUGGAGUGUGCUUUCUGUCGACGCCUUCAAUGGAGUGAAAAUUGACCGCCGCGUCUUUUGGAGCACGCCGCACCGAGGCGUCGAUAAUAGCACAAAGAGUGACGGAUGUAGACUCUGAUACUGUAUGGGGAUGAAAACUUGGGGGAGGAAAAUGAAAUCAGAUAGAAAUACACGGCCAAAGAGAUGGAGGGAAGAAGAAGGAGGAGGGAGAGAUGUGGGCAGCGAAAAUCGGUCGUCAGCUUUUUAAUUCAAGUGUGAAGGACAAGGAAGCACAAAUACAGGAUGAGAGAUAAAAAAAA